AUCGACCGCGACCCCA
rnacentral:rRNA from 1 species